AAUCCAGAUAAAGCAGCUCUGAGACAGGUGGUUGCCCAGAGGAGUGGGGACAGGCUCCAGGGGGACCUGCGUGCACAGCGGCACAGAGGCCUGGUCCUGCCACUGCAUGGAGCUUCCUGAGCAGGGAGGAAUGUGAGGCUCCGGGUUUCCAGGGUCCCUCUAAACCUCAUAUCCAUCUUGGGUAGCGGAUCUCCGGUAACGAGGCACGCGCGCCUCCUGCUGGCCCCCGUGCUGACUGCACCUCGGCUGUCGGGACUUCAGCCCCUGGGGCUGGGAACCAAAUGUCCAUAAAAGGAGUAUAUAAACUGGGAGGACCCUAAGAGAUCAUCCACCCCGCCUUGCCGAUGGAGACCGGAAGCUCUGCAUGGGGCCCGGUGCUCAAACAGAGCAGGAAUUCCGGGCCCUGAAUCCAAGGCUGGGCUCCGUCAAAGCCUGGGGUGGGGAGGCCAGCUGUCAGGGAUAGUCAUGAACAGCCCGAUGGAGAGGCCUGUGUGGGAAGAGCUGAGCCUCCAGCCAACAGUCACAAGAAGUUGAAGCCUUCUGCCAAGGGCCACGUGGGCGAGCUUGAAUGUGGAUCCUCCAGCCCUGUCAAGCCUUCAGCAGACUGAAGCCCGGGUGAACAUCUUGACUUGACUUCAUGAGAGAUCCUGUCAGAAACACCGGACUAAACUGCGCCUCAAUUUCUGACCUUCAGAAACAGAGAUAAAAAACGCUGCUUUAACCACUAAA